UACGUAGGGAGCAAGCGUUGUCCGGAAUCAUUGGGCGUAAAGCGCGCGUAGGUGGCCCCGUAAGUCCGCUGUGAAAGUCAAAGGCUCAACCUUUGAAAGCCGGUGGAUACUGUGGGACUAGAGUACGGAAGAGGCGAGUGGAAUUCCUGGUGUAGCGGUGGAAUGCGCAGAUAUCAGGAGGAACACCGAUGGCGAAGGCAGGUCUCUGGGCUGACACUGACGCUCAUGCACGAAAGCUAGGGGAGCAAACGGG
rnacentral:rRNA from 1 species